AUACGUAGGUGACAAGCGUUAUCCGGAUUUACUGGGCGUAAAGGGCGUGUAGGCGGUCUUGCAAGUCAGAAGUGAAAUUCCUGAGCUCAACUCGGGCGCUGCUUCUGAAACUGCAGGACUUGAGUGCUGGAGGGGAUAGCGGAAUUCCUAGUGGAGCGGUAAAAUGGGCAGAUAUUAGGAAGAACACCGGUGGCGAAGGCGGCUAUCUGGACAGUAACUGACGCUGAGGCGCGAAAGCGUGGGGAGCAAACAGGAUUAGAUACCCUGGUAGUCCACACCGUAAACGAUGAAUACUAGGUGUAGGGGGUAUCGACUCCCUCUGUGCCGCAGUUAACACAAUAAGUAUUCCGCCUGGGGAGUACGGCCGCAAGGUUGAAACUCAAAUGAAUUGACGGGU
rnacentral:rRNA from 1 species